CUGAGUUCCUGGGAAGAGCACGAUGAAAACUGAAGUCCCUCAUCUGCCUGACAGGCUGACAAUAGUGAUGCACUUCUAAUGAAUAGAACAAGGCAGAAGUGAUGCUGAAUGAUUUUUGAAGCCAGGUCAUGAGAAAUUAUACAGCUUCUGCCUGGCUCUCUCUCUCUCAAGAUGCUCACUCUUGGAACCCAGGAACUAUGUUGUGGAGAAGACUACUCUGCGUGGAGAGGUCAUGUGAAGGACCUCUCCAGAGCAGGAGCUCCCACCCCUUCAAUUAGGCGAUUGGCCAGGCCUAAGAUGUGCCACCUACAAGAUAAAACAGAAGUGUACCCAAGGACAACACAAUAAGGAGAGACACCCAAGUUCCAGAACGAGAAAGGAGCUGCCCUAAGAUUGCCACAUAAGGAAGUCACUAUAGCCUGCUGGAGGACACACAGAGAAGAGCCAAGAUCCCCAACCAAUAGUACGAAUCAACCGCCAGACGAAUGAGUGGGACCAUCUUGUACCUUCUAGCCCAGCUAACCUUCAGCUGAAUGUGUGCUAACCCAGGAAAAACUACCAGAGGACCCACCAGCCAAC